CGGUUGAUCCUGCCGGACCCCACUGCUAUCGGGAUAGGACUAAGACAUGCUAGUCGAGCGCCUCCCAGCCACGACGGAGGCGCGGCGCACAGCUCAGUAACACGUGGCUAACCUGCCCUCGGGACGGGAAUACCCCCGGGAAACUGGGGCUAAUCCUCGAUAGGUGAAGAACUCUGGAAUGAGUCUCCGCCCAAAAGACGCUUAAAUCAUGCUUUUAGGCGCCGCCCAAGGAUGGGGCCGCGACCGAUCAGGUAGUUGGUGAGGCAACGGCUCACCAAGCCUUUAACCGGUGCGGGCCGUGGGAGCGGGAGCCCGGAGAUGGGCACUGAGACAAGGGCCCAGGCCCUACGGGGCGCAGCAGUCGCGAAAACUUUGCAAUACACGAAAGUGUGACAGGGCUAUCCCGAGUACCAUCCGCUGAGGAAGGCUUUUACCCAGUCUAGAAAGCUGGGAGAAUAAGGAGAGGGCAAGUCUGGUGUCAGCCGCCGCGGUAAUACCAGCUCUCCGAGUGGUGUGGAUGUUUAUUGGGCCUAAAGCAUCCGUAGCUGGCCAAGUUAGUCCCCUGUUAAACCCACCGAAUUAAUCGUUGGAGUGCGGGGGAUACUGCUCGGCUAGGGGACGAGAGAGGCCGACGGUAUUUCCGGGGUAGGGGUGAAAUCCUAUAAUCCCGGGAGGACCACCAGUGGCGAAGGCUGUCGGCUAGAACGCGCCCGACGGUGAGGGAUGAAAGCUGGGGGAGCGAACCGGAUUAGAUACCCGGGUAGUCCCAGCUGUAAACGAUGCAGGCUAGGUGUUUGGGCGGCCACGGGCCGCUCUAGUGCCGCAGGGAAGCCGUUAAGCCUGCCGCCUGGGGAGUACGGUCGCAAGGCUGAAACUUAAAGGAAUUGGCGGGAAGGGCGA
rnacentral:rRNA from 1 species